UGGGGAAUAUUGGACAAUGGGCGCAAGCCUGAUCCAGCCAUGCCGCGUGAGUGAUGAAGGCCCUAGGGUUGUAAAGCUCUUUCACCGGUGAAGAUAAUGACGGUAACCGGAGAAGAAGCCCCGGCUAACUUCGUGCCAGCAGCCGCGGUAAUACGAAGGGGGCUAGCGUUGUUCGGAUUUACUGGGGGUAAAGCGCACGAAGGCGGACUUUUAAGUCAGGGGUGAAAUCCCGGGGCUCAACCCCGGAAAUGCCUUUGAUACUGUAAGUCUUGAGUAUGGUAGAGGUGAGUGGAAUUCCGAGUGUAGAGAUGAAAUUCGUAGAUAUUCGGAGGAAAACCAGUGGCGAAGGCGGCUCACUGGACCAUUACUGACGCUGAGGUGCGAAAGCGUGGGGAGCAAACAGG
rnacentral:rRNA from 1 species